rnacentral:misc_RNA from 1 species
UCACGGGACGCAGCAGUGGGGAAUUUGGGUAAUGGGGGAAACCCUGAUCCGCUCAUCCUGCGUGUGCGAUGGCGAAGGCUUCGCUGUAAAGCACUUUUUGGCAGGAGGGGUAAGAAAACGGCACGAUAAUACCCGUGCAACUGACGGUACCUGCAGAAUAAGCACUGGCUAACUACGUGCCAGCAGCCGCGGUAAUACGUAGGGUGCAAGCGUUAAUCGGAAUUACUGGGCGUAAAGCGUGCAGGCGGUUCGGAAAGAAAGAUGUGAAAUCCCAGAGCUUAACUUGGAAUCCGCAUUUUUAACUACCGAGCUAGAGUGUGUCAGAGGGAGGUGGAACGCGUGUAGUAGUGAAAUGUAGAUAUGGAGGAAAACAUCGAUGGCGAAGGCAGCCUUCCGGGAGAUAAUAUCGAUGUCACUAUGCACGAAAGCGUGGGGAGCAAACAGGAUUAGAUACCUGCA